GGGGGUGUAGCUCAGGCGGUAGAGCACCGCCCUUUUAAGGCGAUGGUCGAAGGUUCGAGUCCUUCCACCCUCA
rnacentral:tRNA from 1 species